CAAAUUUUUUGUCAAAUUUGUCAAUCAAUUGGCAUUUUAUACCUCCGAGCGCACCGAACUUUGGCGGUCUAUGGGAAGGUGCUGUAAAAUCGGCAAAAUACCAUUUAAAGCGAGUAGUCGGGGAGACGCGUCUUACUUACGAAGAAUUUUACACAAUACUUACUCAAAUUGAAGCAUGUUUAAAUGCCAGGCCUCUUACCCCUUUAUCCAACGAUCCCAACGACCUUACUCCUCUCACUCCCGGACACUUCCUAAUCGGAGACUCUUUAAUAGCACCUGUACAAGAAGAUCUGCGUGAUGUGAACGAAAAUCGAUUAAACAGGUAUCGGCACGUACAACAAAUGUACCAGCACUUUUGAGAGAGAAGGACGCAAGAGUAUCUCUCACAACUGCAAUGCAUGCCAAGGAAAAAGGGUGAUCGUAACACACGCAUGAUUAAACCAGGGAUGCUGGUUAUGAUAAAAGAAAACAACGUUCCACCUCUACGGUGGGCACUUGGUCGAAUCACACAGUUGCAUCCUGGUAAGGAUGGUAUGACCAGGGUCGUAUCAAUUCAAGUAACAAAUGGAGAAAUCAAGAGGCCAGUAUAAAAAAUUUGCAUAUUGCCAAUUGAUUAUAAGGACGAUUCAAGCAGCACCAUGGAUAAUUCUUCAGCCCAGCAACAAUAAACGUAGAUGGGUGCUGCGCAGCCUCGGUCACCUCGACCUCUGGAGUGCCUGGGCUUGCUGGAGAUAGAAGGAGGUGGCUGCAAGGCUAAAGUUACCAAGGAGACGAGGGGCAAGAGGGGCCGAGACGAUGGGGGUAGGUAAAUUGUAGAACUGUUUCGCAAGAUCAUCCAGGUUGCGCAGCAUCUUCCGAAGGCAGAAAAUAAAUUAUAGUAAUAUAAGACAAAACCAGUUACUCGAUUAUGGGUAUCACAAAAUAAUUUCCGAAAUCUUCGUAUUUCUGACAAUUAUUUCGGUAGAAAUCUCUGGAUUCUGCUCAUUCUUAUAUCUUUCAUUACAUGUCAAAUUAAUAUUGUAUAAUUCGAUCUGUAGCUCAUUCUUGAAAUCAGUGAAGUACUUCAGAAACAGAAGUAAUGCUCUUGAACUUGGAAAUUGUCCCAAUUAGACGUAGUCAUAUUGUUUUAUGCAUAUUAAAGAAUGAUUUGUCACAAAGAAAUUAAUUUCUGCUUUUUUUAAAUUCUUUUACAUAUUACAUGAAGUUACACAAUUUUGUAAGCCAUAUCGUGUGAUAUUAAUUUGUCGUUCAAUUAUAUGUAGGUGUAACCUGUUAUUUCUUUAUAUGCAUUUGAAACUGUAGAGAAACACAUUUUACUUGAAUAGCGAGUUUGUAAACCCAUGAUAACAUAACUAGGCGCUCUCUGUACCGGCAUUCCCAUCUGCCAACAUCGUAGUCCCGGCGUACUCCGUCACGAUAACGCUUUCGUCCAUUUCGCCGAUUAUCACCUGACCGAGACGGACGGACAGUUUUUCAUGAACAAAUGUAUGUCUGAUACUAUGUCAGAUGGUCUUAUUCCUAAGAUUUUAUUAGUAUAUCUUUUCUUUUAUUGAAUUUUCAAAUUAGCAAAUAGGGACGAGGACCUAAAAACGGAGUCCAUUCUUUCGUAUAUCUUUUCGGGACCAAACAUUUGAAAUCAGGACCCAAAUCAGCGGUGUGCGGAUAACUCCAACUGACCCCUGGAUGUUUAUCCUGCAAUAUGAGAAGCCGUAUUCACCGCAUGGGUUGCCACGUUUUGUCGCAUUCUACGCAAAACUGGCGUUUGUAUUAUAAUCGAUUCAGAUGCAAUCAUUAUGUCAUUAUAUUAGAUAUUAUAGCGGUUACAAUAUUUUAAUAGUAUGCAAUAUGUAUGUGUGAAGGGUGGAUAGAAGUAUGUAGUUUUAUUUAUUUUUGUUAUAUUCGACUUAGAAUUAGGACUGAUCCAUAAUAAUAGGUAAUAUCGUUUGUAUAUUUUUAAAAGUAUAAUGUCCAUUUAUUACUAUCAUCAUAAAGUUCAUGAAUUGCAAAUAUAGUAAAUUCGACAUAUUUGCGUUGGUCACAUUAACACUAAAUCUACCGAUAAUUUUUUAUAAAUGUAUUUUUCACUUUAAAAGAUCCAAAUGACCCG